AUUUUGCAUUCCCUCACCAGAGGUCGUGCUACACAAGCUUCGCUUACACCAUCUUUGCCAGCCAAGGGUGACAAUCCACCUCUCUCUCCAGGAUGGAAUUCAAUAAGUGAUUUAGUUUCAGUAAGAUAUUUUUACACUAUUUAAACGGAAACAAAUUGUUACAAUAGAAAUAUAAGACAUGUCAGUCGAUGAAAUACAGAGAUCCAAAAGAGAGAUCAAGAAAUGGUUCUCUGAACUAUUCAUGCAAUGCAUGCGUUCUCUGAUUCUUUUUAUACAUGUUACAGUAUUGGAACUGGUUGAAAAUGAUCAACCACUUACUAUUAAUAUUGUUUCAACACUAAAAACAACCACUGCUUUAGCACCGGACUUUGAAUAGUUUUAUCGUUCACAGCUGGUAAUAGAAUAAAAACAUUUAUUGCC
rnacentral:sRNA from 1 species